rnacentral:rRNA from 1 species
UACGUAGGGGGCAAGCGUUGUCCGGAUUUAUUGGGCGUAAAGAGCUCGUAGGCGGUUUGGUAAGUCAGGUGUGAAAUCUCCACGCUCAACGUGGAGGGGCCACCUGAUACUGCCAUGACUGGAGUCCGGUAGAGGAGUGUGGAAUUCCCGGUGUAGCGGUGAAAUGCGCAGAUAUCGGGAGGAACACCAGUGGCGAAGGCGGCUCACUGGUCCGGUACUGACGCUGAGGUGCGAAAGCGUGGGGAGCAAACAGG